rnacentral:rRNA from 1 species
CGAAAGUUAGAGGUUCGAAGGCGAUCAGAUACCGCCCUAGUUCUAACCAUAAACGAUGCCAGCCAGCGAUCCGGCUGUGUUCCUCAAAUGACACGCCGGGCAGCUUCCGGGAAACCAAAGCUUUUGGGUUCCGGGGGAAGUAUGGUUGCAAAGCUGAAACUUAAAGGAAUUGACGGAGGGGCACCACCAGGUAUGGAGCUUGCGGUUCAAUUUGACUCAACGCAGCAAAGCCUACCAGGCCAGGACACAGGAAGGAUUGACAGAUUGAGAGCUCUUUCUUGAUUCUGUGGGUUGUGGUGCAUGGCCGUUCCUGGUUCGUGGAGCGAUUUGUCUUGUUUAUUCUGAUAACGGACGAGAUUCUAGCCUACUAAAUAGACGCUUCGAUCCUUCGAGUCGAGCGUUCUUCUUAGAGGGACAGGCGGUGUUUAGCCGCACGAGGCAGAGCAAUAACAGGUCUGUAAUGCCCUUAGAUGUCCUGGGCCACACGCGUGCUACAUUGAAGGAAUCAACGUGUGCUUUCCCUGUCCGAUGGGACUGGGUAACCCGUUGAACCUCCUUCGUGCUGGGGAUAGAAAAUUGUAAUUAUCUUUCUUGAACGAGGAAUCCCUAGUAAGCGCGAGUCAUCAUCUCGGGUUGAUUAGGUCCCUGCCCCUUGUCCACACCGCCCGUCGCUAUUACCGAUUGAAUGAUUUAGUGAGGUCUUCGGACUGGCGCUCGGAUUGGCCUUCGGGUCGAGCCGGCGUGCCGGAAAGAUGACCGAACUUGACCAUUUAGAGGAAAUAAAAGUCGUAACAAGG